UACGAAGGGGGCUAGCGUUGUUCGGAUUUACUGGGCGUAAAGCGCACGUAGGCGGCGAUUCAAGUCAGGGGUGAAAGCCCGGGGCUCAACCCCGGAACUGCCCUUGAAACUAGAUUGCUAGAAUCCUGGAGAGGCGAGUGGAAUUCCGAGUGUAGAGGUGAAAUUCGUAGAUAUUCGGAAGAACACCAGUGGCGAAGGCGACUCGCUGGACAGGUAUUGACGCUGAGGUGCGAAAGCGUGGGGAGCAAACAGG
rnacentral:rRNA from 1 species